ACAUUUACAAGGCAUGAGCGUUUUGAAGGACCUAACAUGUUCAGUGAGUGACAAGAAGUUUACACUGGCGGGGAGGAAAAGAAGGCUGAGUAGAUAGUGGGGGUCCAUGUCAGAAAGAUCUUUGUCCAGGAAACGAAGGGGUUUGGAUUUAAUGGGAAGGCAUUGGACAUCUUUAGCGGGAGAGUGACAGCAGCUUGGUUUUAAAGGAAAAGACCUGUGAGAGACAAGUCUAGGAUAAAUGGGAGUGGGGAGAGAUCAACAGAGAGGCCAGUUAGGAUGUCACUGCAUCCAAAGGGGUGAUUUGGAACUGGUGAAGAGCUUGGGCUAGAAGACCUGGAAAGGAGGAGAAUAGACUGUAAUCCUUUUUUUUGACUCUUCUUAUCUUCAAGUCCUGCAAAACUCAAAGCAGUAGUUGAAGUGGAUGAUGCUAAGUAUGCUCCAAUUAGAGGAAGUGUUGCCAGACUUGGGAAGGGUCCAUAGAGAGCUCACAAGGAAUGUUAUUAUGAGGAUAUUUCUGGAAAUGUUGGUCCAGGCCCAGCUUUUCAAUUAUUUUUGUAUUAAUGGCUUGAAGAUGGAAACCUUGGUCAAGGUUGUAGCUGCUAGAGAGUUGAAAGUUGAUAGUUUAUACACUGAAUGAAAAGAAUUGAAUUCCAAACAGAUAACUAAAAUAUCCAGAGAUCAGCUAAAAUCUAAAAAGAUGAAAUGUAGUAGGGGUAAAUGUGAGGUGCUGCAGUUGGGUCAAAGAAAUUAAUGCAUAAUUACAGAAUGGAGAAAAUCUUCAUUUAUAAAUACUUUUUUAGUGUUUAUUUUUGAGAGAGAGAGAGACAGAGAAUGAGCAGGGGAGGGGCAGAGAGAGAGAGGGGGAGACACAGAAUCUGAAGCAGGCUCCAGUCUCUGAGCUGUCAGCACAGAGCUGACGUGGGGCUCGAACCCACGAACUGUGAGAUCAUGACCUGAGCUGAAGUCGGGCGCUUAACCGACUGAGCUACCCAGGCACCCCGAAAAUCUUCGUUUAUGAAAAUGUGGAAUUAAAACAAUUUUUUUUAAUGUUUAUUUAUUUUUGGAGGAGAGAGAGAGACAGAGUGUGAGUUGGGAGAGGGGGGCAGAGAGAGAGGGAGACACAGAAUCUGAAGCAGGCUCCAGGCUCUGAGCUGUCAGCACAGAGCCCGUCGCGGGGCUCGAACGCACAAACCGCGAGAUCAUGACCUGAGCCGAAAUCAGCUGCUCAACCAACUGAGCCACCCAGGCUCCCCAAUAAAGGUGUGGAAUUUUAAAUGACGACUCAUUGAUAUGAUGUCCCUCCUUUCAAAAUUAAUGGUUUCUUAUGCUAUUGCAAAAGGUGUAUGGUGUUAUGGUAGGAGCUACUGUAAAAAAAAUAGGUCCCUAAAUCUCAGUGGUAUAAUAUCAUUGAAAUUCAAUUCUUGCUCAGUUAACUAACUGUCCAAGUCAGAUAUUCUGUGUCUUGUGUUACUUCCCUCCACAUGGAGACCCACAUCCUGGGGUCCUUCCAUCUGGUGAACUCAGCAACUCUCUAAGCUUUGGCCUCAAUGUCAUUUGCAUCUAGCUUGAAGAAGAGGAAAGAAAGUAGAGAGGGGACGUCUGAUUCAUAAAAACCUUGGCCCAGAGGCAUCAUAGGUAAUUUCCCCUCAUAUUUCAUUAGCAGGGGAGACUAGCAAAUACAGUUCCUGGAUGGGCAGCUGUUUCGAGUGACAAAUCUAUGGUAUGGAAGUAGGAAGACACUUCUGCUGAAUUGUUUGCCAUCUAUGGCUUUCGUGCCAUCCAGAAUGGAGAUAUUUUUAGCUUUGGCCGGUUUCCAAUUCUUGGAUUCGUGUCCAUUGAGAAUGUCCUAUUUUAGGAAGGAAAUUGGCAAAAUGAAGUAUUUGGAGGCAACUGAAUAGAAGACACAAAGAUCUGUGAAUGUUUCUUGUAGGAAAGAGAAGACCCAGGAGGAACUCCAUGGCUAUCUCCAGCUAUUGGAAAUUUUCUGAAAUGUUACUGUUCCCCUACGUUCUGUGUUUAUGCUUCUCCUUUCUGUACCUGGUUCUGUUCUGUAACUGGAUGAUCGAUAUAGUCUUAAGCUCAUAUUAUUCGUUGAGAUGCUGGGUUUAUUUCUCCAACUCGGUCUUUCCUCUGAGUUGACUUGUAUCCAAUUACUAACCAUUCGUCUUAACUGGCGUUUUAAAGUGACAUCAACAAAUCCACAUCUUCACCUCACCCUGACACCUCCAACUUGGUGUACCAGCAAUUGGCUGACCAACAGUCAUUCAGUUACUCAAGUUAGAAGCCAAAGAAUCAUCUUGGAAGUGCCAUCUCUCUUUUACCAUCUUCAUCAAAUUAAUUUUCCAGGGGCAUCUGGGUAGCUCAGUCAGUUAAGUGUUUGACUCUUGAUUUUGGGUCAAGGCAUGAUCUCAUGGUCAUGAUCUCAUGGUCGUGAAAUCAAGCCCGGUAUCGGGCUCCGUGCUGGGCAUAGAGCCUUCUUAAGAUUCUCCCUCUCUUUCUGCCCCUCCCCCACUUACACUCUCUCCGUAAAAGAGGAAAACAAAGCAGUUUUCUGGGCGUGUCAAUUUGAUGUCAUAAAUAUUUCUGAACUGUAUCCACAUUAGUACAGAUUCAAUUCAGGUUUUCAUCAUUUUUCACCUGGAUAACUGAAAUAACUUCUUAAAUGGUUUUGCCUCUUCUACCCUUGUUUCUCUAUACCGCCACGAGGAUGAUCUAACAAAGAGGUAAACCUGAUGUUAUUAUUCUCUUUUUUAAACCAUAUCAGAGCCUCUAGGUAUGACAUAGAGGUAAGUCUCUAUCAGGUUCUUGCCUAUGCCUAACCCCAUUGUAUGCCACUCCUUCCUUAUAGCAUUCUACUUGUAGUUCCUUGAAUAUACCAUACUAUUUCCCAUUUCUGUUUCACUUUUCCUGAAAAUUUUCCCUUUAGAAAAUUACUUCCUUGGCUAACUCUUAUUUGUCUUUACAAAUUCUCUUAAGACUUUCUUUAACUUCCCAAAUCGGGAUUAAGCGCCCCUUUCUAUGCGUCCGAACACGGAGUGUACUAGUACACAUCUGCCUCCCCAUUACAAUGUAAUUAUCUCUAGAGCAAGGACCCUGCCUCAUGCAUUCAUUCAUUCACUCAUUCGUCGAUUCAUUAUCUAGUACCCAUCACAAUGCCUGGCACACAUUCAAAAAUGUCUGUUGACUUGAAUUGUCAUGCAGAAGAGAGAACAGAUUUAUUUGGUCUCUGCUAUCUCAAAAUUCAAAGCCGCAAAGCUACAUGAUAGCAGAUUUUGGCUUCUAUUAGGUGGUAAAGCAUAAAAUUGGUAGGUGGCUUUGGAAAAUAGUGUAUUUCUUCUUGUGAUGUUCGAGUAGAGGCUGGAAGGCUCACUUGAUAAGGAAUCAUGGUAGGGAUUGAAGCAGCCAAUGGAGGUUGGUAACAUGCCGGUACACUGUAACAUUUUAUAAUUUUGAUUCACGUUUGAUUUUUUCUAUAAAACAAAUGUAUUUUAAUCAUCUGAAGUGUGUUAUGGAAUGUAAUCCAUGGUUUGGGAAAAUGCUUUAAAGAAGAAACCAACACAGAGAUCUGUAGAAACCUGUAGAAAACCUGUAGAUCUGUAGGAGACCUGGUCUAAAUAAUAUAUAUUUUAAUGAGCUUUGGAAAAAUAGAAUUUUUUUUUUGAGUCAGACUCCUCCAGCUCACUUUUCUUAUGUUCAUGCAUAUUAUAAGAGCCGGGCCAAAAAGGGGGCUAAGACCUAUAAUUGAUAUGCUUUAAUGAGCAAUGUUUAUUUUGUUAUGUUACUUUCUGUACCCCAAAUAUCUAUAUAUUUAGUUUCUCAUAAAGGAUUCAACAGAGAAAAUGACUAAUUGCUCAAGAGUCCACGAAUACGUCCAGGGUUCUGAACUAUCGCACUGAUUCGAUUUAGAAUAAUCGGACCCUUAAUACUGUGACCUCGAAUUGCAAGUCAUUUGGUCUGGCUUUUCUGGAUGGCAACAUUUAGAAAGGAAACAGCAUUAGGCAAAUACAGUAAACAUUUUCUUUUUCCAGGAAAGCGCUUUCUUUUAUCUCCUGGGCCACCUAUGCCUUCAGAAGCUGAAAUUCCAGGAGAAAUGUCGCUUUUCAUUAUCUAGCCUUUAAGCCUGCCAGUAAAUUUUAUUUUCCUAAUGUCCAGGACGUUUAUUUUUCUAUCAGUCUUUAAGGAAGAUGAACCCAUUUUUCCCACAGUAUGGAGGAGCAUGCACUUUUAUACUUUCCUUGCAUGAAAACAAUGUUUGGUUUUUUUGUUUCAGGUUUUUGUUUUGAACACAUGUAAGCUCUUUGAGGGGAGGCAUAUUGCCAUUAUUUAAGAAAGAGCUGGGUGUGGUGGGAAGAGCACUGGAUCUGGAGUUAGGACCCCAGUUUUAACUCCCGCUGGCUGUUGUCUGGGAGCUCUGCUCCCACUCACAAAAUGACGUCAUUGGACCAAACAGCCUUUAAGCUCCCAGCUACUCUAACAUUCUGUGUUCUGAGAUUUCCCAUGGCACCUCCCUGAUGCUUACUCAUUGGGUCUGACCAACUUAAGUGAAGAAAAUGACCUAAAGCUGGUGUUCAAACCCAAGGUCCUCAAUUACAUUUUUCACAGAGUACACUCCUCAAGAAAGAAUGACGCCAUUGACCGUGGAUUCCCUUUCAUAGACACCCCCUGCCUGCAUUACUAGGAUGGUUUAUCAGUGAUUAUUAAAGUCCGUUCAAAUCCAUUCCACUCUCUUGUCGCGGAUCCCCAAAGCCCGCCAUGAUCGUGCUCAGUUACUAUGUAGGGUCACCAUCAACGUUUAGCCCUCAACGUAUUUUGGAUAAUUAUACGUUUUGCAUUUUAGCAGGAACUGCCUACCAGUGCUAAGGUGUCUACGAUUUUUUUCUAUUGCAAGAGCAACACCACCUGUGUUUUCUCCCUAGUGGUGAGCCUCAGUGCCUGGCACAUGGUAGAUGUUCAAUAAAUGUUUGUUGAAAGAAUGAGUGCAGUCAGAUUUGACUUUGCCAGAAAGAGCUGACUUUGUAAGAAGUUGAUAAAUUGAGCUGCUUUAUGAUCAGUCUAAAACGUAGAAGGUGAUUGCCUCUGAAAAUAGGAUGCAUCUUUUCUUUGUUUCUUGGCAUUUUUCCUAUUAGGAGUAGAGCUUGAGCAGAUUAAAUAGGACUCAAUCUCGAAUCCGCAAAUGACACCAAGCCUGAAAUGAUGCUGAGGUUGGAAGCGAUUUAGUUCACUUGAAUUUUAUUUGGGGGAUAAUGUUUUCCUUCUGGGAAGGGAAAUGCUAAUGAAAAAAUCGCCUCCCGACUACAACGCAGAAGUAAUAGGAAUCUGGCCAGAAAUAUGAUCUUAUGAAAAUUCUCCAAGCAAAGCAUCUUAUACUCAUGUCUGUGCCUUUGGAUUGACAUUCUGAUGUUUGCCUUUCUCUGGUUUCCAGAGCUCAGGGUGGAGAGAGGCGCCAGGGUAACAAGCCAAAUAGGUCUAUUAUGGGAUGUCAUGCUCACUGGGCAUGAGUGCUGUCUCCUAGGACAUUUAUAGCGUUCAUUACUCAGUCCAACUUUAAUAACACAUGGACAAGCCUGGGGCAAUUUGUAAAGGAUCUGAGAGUUUUUUGUUAUGAAAGUCUAUAUUAUAGAAUUAGCGGGUCUCAGGAUUGGACUCGAUUGGAAAGAUGAUCUCAUCAAAGGACCCAUAGCUCUCUACUGGAGAAGAACUGCUUUCAAUAACCCUGACAUUGUAAAUGGCCAUGGAUAUUGGGGGACCAUUUGUAAGACUAAGUUAACAGAUGGUGACUGUUAACGUUGUAAGUUAGGAUAUGGGCAAAAUGGCAAAUGCUGAUUCUACUUUUUCCCUGCAGCCAAGGGAGCUAUGAAGAGGUGGGACAGGGAGUGGCCAGCCAUCCUAACCUUUCUGCUAUAAACCCUAGAGAGGAGCACAUGAGGGGGAUCAGUGAUGUAAGUCAACCAAGAGAGAUUCCGGUGUCUUCUAGAUUAGCGUUUCUGACCUGUUCACCAGCUCACUCGGAAGACUCGAUAAAAUUCAAAUUCAGAUUCAGGAGUUCUGCGGUAGGGUCUGAGAUUCUGUAUUUCUAACACGGUUCCAGGUGGUGCCAAUGCUGCUGAUACAUGAGCCACAUUUUGAGUAGCAAGAUUCUAGAAUCUACCAUCCGGGUCAGUCUGUUGGAUACUGAGCCCCAUGUGAACCACCUCAAAUAGAGAAGAAAUAGACUCCAAGCAAAUAAGGAUGAAAAGAUUACUGAAUUAUAGGUGAUCAAAAUUAAAAAAAAAAUCUGGAAGAUGAUCCAGUUCAUUGGUUUCCGAUUUUUUUAUUGUUUCUUUUUUAAAUUUCUUUUUGAAAAUCAAAGUUACAUGCGGAAUCUCAAUGUAUGAAAUGGCUCAAAGCUUUGGUGUUUCGAUUAAAUCUGGAACAGAAGCUUGGAGCCAACCCCUCCUCCUAUGACUCUCCUCAAAGACUCCUAGUCUGUAGAACCCUAGGACUCUGAGUAGCACUGUUUGGAAACGACUGACCUUAUUUAUUGAAUGCAUUAGGAAAUAAUAAAAUGGAACCCAUAUCCAAAUCCUGAUUGCUAGUCUGAUGUUCUUUCUAAUGUGCAAGGGCAACAUAACUUAUUACCUUGGCUUAGAAGCUAAUUAUCAUUGAUAUGGGUCGUCUUUGACUAUCUGAGCACUGGUCAGUCUCUGACACAAUACUUGGUACUUGCUACAUCACCCUUAGCUAACUGUGUGGGCUGGGGGAAGUCGCGUAGCCUUUUGGAGCCCCCAUUUCUGAUCUAUAGAAUGAAAAAAAACCCCAAAACCUACUGUGAACUUCUCUACAUAUAUCACCAGCACAGAGUAUCCAGAAUCUUAGAAGGACUAAAGAAACAUGCAGUGAAUGCAAAUGAAAUGAGGGCAACAACUGUACUUGUCUUAUCUACCGUCAUAACCCCUCUGAAUGCCUUGGCCUGUCAUAAGCAGACACUCUAUAAAUAUUUGCUAAACAAAUGAAGAAUGGUGAUGUCAUAGGCGGGAAACUGUCUUAUAACUUGUAAGUGUUAGAUAUAAAUUUAAGGGACCAUUAGGCUUGUCAUCAUUAUCAAAUAAGCUCGAAACUGUCUGAGGUGCUCUGCUGGGUGUUGACAAAAGGGAGCCACAUUCUCUCUGUCUCUGACAUCUGGUGACUCACAACCUCUGGCAAACAACAAGGAUUGGGAUAUAAGGGGCUCAGCGAGAGUUGGAGGGAGCCCCGGUCCUUUAAAAAGGGAUG